rnacentral:tRNA from 1 species
AGGUGCGUAGCUCAGAGGUAGAGCAGCGGUCUCCAAAACCGCCGGUCCGAGGUUCGACCCCUCGCGCAUCUG